UUUAUUUUAUUUAUUUCCCGCAUCGGUUUUAUUUUAUUUAUUUCCCGCAUCGCUUUUAUUUUAUUUAUUUCCCGUAUCGCUUUACUUUAUUUAUUUUCCACACUCGCUUUACUUUAUUUAUUUUCCGCACUCGCUUUACUUUAUUUAUCUUAUGCAUUUUACUCGCUUUUAACGCCUCACAUUCUAAAACAAACUUUUCAUCAUGAUUAAUAUC
rnacentral:lncRNA from 1 species